CACACACACACACACACACACACACACACACACACUUCUGAACACAGCAACUUUGUCUAUGAACUUUCUGCAGUCCACAGUGCUUUGCUGACGUGAUUGCAUCCAUCUGUAAGUUGAGCUGUCUCAGGUUAGGUUUAGGUCCAUCUUCAGAGGUGUAGCUGGACAGGUUUAAGCCGAGGUUGUGUGGUCAAGUUGAGCUGUCUCAGGUUAGGUUUAGGUCCAUCUUCAGAGGUGUAGCUGGACAGGUUUAAGCCGAGGUUGUGUGGUCAAGUUGAGCUGUCUCAGGUUAGGUUUAGGUCCAUCUUCAGAGGUGUAGCUGGACAGGUUUAAGCCGAGGUUGUGUGGUCAAGUUGAGCUGUCUCAGGUUAGGUUUAGGUCCAUCUUCAGAGGUGUAGCUGGACAGGUUUAAGCCGAGGUUGUGUGGUCAAGUUGAGCUGUCUCAGGUUAGGUUUAGGUCCAUCUUCAGAGGUGUAGCUGGACAGGUUUAAGCCGAGGUUGUGUGGUCAAGUUGAGCUGUCUCAGGUUAGGUUUAGGUCCAUCUUCAGAGGUGUAGCUGGACAGGUUUAAGCCGAGGUUGUGUGGUCAAGUUGAGCUGUCUCAGGUUAGGUUUAGGUCCAUCUUCAGAGGUGUAGCUGGACAGGUUUAAGCCGAGGUUGUGUGGUCAAGUUGAGCUGUCUCAGGUUAGGUUUAGGUCCAGCUUCAGAGGUGUAGCUGGACAGGUUUAAGCCGAGGUUGUGUGGUCAAGUUGAGCUGUCUCAGGUUAGGUUUAGGUCCAGCUUCAGAGGUGUAGCUGGACAGGUUUAAGCCGAGGUUGUGUGGUCAAGUUGAGCUGUCUCAGGUUACGUUUAGGUCCAGCUUCAGAGGUGUAGCUGGACAGGUUUAAGCCGAGGUUGUGUGGUCAAGUUGAGCUGUCUCAGGUUAGGUUUAGGUCCAGCUUCAGAGGUGUAGCUGGACAGGUUUAAGCCGAGGUUGUGUGGUCAAGUUGAGCUGUCUCAGGUUAGGUUUAGGUCCAGCUUCAGAGGUGUAGCUGGACAGGUUUAAGCCGAGGUUGUGUGGUCAAGUUGAGCUGUCUCAGGUUAGGUUUAGGUCCAGCUUCAGAGGUGUAGCUGGACAGGUUUAAGCCGAGGUUGUGUGGUCAAGUUGAGCUGUCUCAGGUUAGGUUUAGGUCCAGCUUCAGAGGUGUAGCUGGACAGGUUUAAGCCGAGGUUGUGUGGUCAAGUUGAGCUGUCUCAGGUUAGGUUUAGGUCCAUCUUCAGAGGUGUAGCUGGACAGGUUUAAGCCGAGGUUGUGUGGUCAAGUUGAGCUGUCUCAGGUUAGGUUUAGGUCCAGCUUCAGAGGUGUAGCUGGACAGGUUUAAGCCGAGGUUGUGUGGUCAAGUUGAGCUGUC